UUGGGUUUGCUUCGAAACAAACUCCACUUUUGCUUCCAUUUCGUCUUCUCUCUCAGAAACAUUACCUUCUCUCUCUCAGAAAGCACCAACAACACUGUUCGGCUUGCAUAGGUUCGUGAAUUUGAUGAAAAUUAAAAUGAAUUUAAGGAAAGGAGUUUGAAGAAAGCGAAGUUUUUGUACACUUCGAUUGGUUUUUUUCUGGUUGGUUCGAAAUACUUAUGAGAUUGGGAGACAACCCAGAAAUUCAAAUAAAAAAUUAAAAAAAAACCGUGAAUUUGGUCCCGAUUCGAAGAAAAUUUUAAGCCCAGAAAAAAGCUGCGUUUCCUGGUGAGUUUUCCGGCCGAUUUGGGGUUGAUAAUUAUGUGAUUUGAAUAUUCUAUGUUUAGAACUAUAUAUUUGAAUUUCAAAAUGAGUUUUCUUUGCAAAUUUCCCUUUUUUUAUUUUGGGGGUUUUGUUUUCAAACUUGAACGCCUUUUAUUUUUGGGGUAAGCAAUUUAAAGUUUUUUUUAAGUUUUAUUAUAUUGGAGUUGAAUUUGGUUGUUCAUUGGGGUUGAUUUUGUUCAAGUUUUGGUGGAUUUAAAUUUUUUUUUUUUCAUUUUUCUUAUCCAUUUCUUUUUGUGAUGAUACAUGCAUGUAAAUGUCCACUGUAGGAGUUCUGUAGUAACAGUUCUCCAUAUCGUGAGGGAAUAUAUUGUCAUCCAGUUUGUAGGAAUGUGAGGACUAAAUUGAUGUAGCCUGAAAUAGUUUAGAGGAGUGCAUGUAUAAAUAAUAAACGUAAAACUUAUUUUUCGUGUUUUUGUUUAGCUUAUUUAUGCUUUUAACUACAUGGCAUAGGUCUAACAUGAUUAGAACUUUAAUGUCAUGAUGUGUGAUGCUAAUUAAGCACAAUAUGAGUAUCUUAACCAAGAAAAACUUGAGCACCUAUCUGUUCCUAUUGAGUCAAGUGAGGCAUCGUAUGCACAAGCACGAGUCAUGACUAAUUAAUGUCCUACGAAAUAAACCAUUUUUAAGACCUUAUAUCAUUUGGAUCUUUAGUUAUGUAACAAGCUGGUCAUUAUGUUGCAGAUUGAGACAAGUUUUGGAAAAGAAAACAAAUUUAAUUAAGUUUGGAGUUGAUUUUGUUUGAGUUUAGAGGGCUAGAAACGUUGUCGUUUUCUGAAGCCCUCUGUACGCAAGAGAGUGAAAAGUGCACUGUUCACAAAGGCAAAACAAAAGACAGCUUCUACAUAUUGGAAGAAGAGAGGUUGAAGUCACUAGCUUUAUUAAUGGUGGUAACCGAAAUCAACCCAAGCUCAUGUUAAAACGAUACAUAAUUUUCAAUAUGGAAUUUCACCGGCAUUGCAGACGGCUAUGAGUUGACGGUUCAAGGUGGAAAAUGAAUUAAUCAUGACAAAAAUCUACCUUUUAAUUCCCCACGAAAUGAUAGGAUGUCAAUACUUUAGAACUAAACUAUCUAACUUUUUUAACUUGGAUAAUUUAUAAAUUGUCGUUCAUUUCUUA